rnacentral:rRNA from 1 species
UGAACGCUAGCGACAGGCCUAACACAUGCAAGUCGAGGGGCAGCACAAGGAGCAAUCUGAGGUGGCGACCGGCGCACGGGUGAGUAACACGUAUGCAACCUGCCUGUAAGCGGGGAAUAACCCGUUGAAAGACGGACUAAUACCGCAUAAUACUAAAUUACUGCAUGGUAAUUUAUUUAAACAUUUAUGGCUUACAGAUGGGCAUGCGCAUGAUUAGCUAGUUGGAGAGGUAACGGCUCCCCAAGGCAACGAUCAUUAGGGGUUCUGAGAGGAAGGUCCCCCACACUGGUACUGAGACACGGACCAGACUCCUACGGGAGGCAGCAGUGAGGAAUAUUGGUCAAUGGACGAGAGUCUGAACCAGCCAAGUCGCGUGCAGGAAGAAUGUCCUAUUGGAUUGUAAACUGCUUUUGCAGGGGAAUAAAGUGCAUCACGUGUGAUGUUUUGUAUGUACUCUGCGAAUAAGGAUCGGCUAACUCCGUGCCAGCAGCAGC